AGAUCCUUUAAGUUAGUCCCGUGAGGCUAAGAAGGAACUAUCAUAAUUAGUGCGUAAACUCUAACUAAAAACGAUAGAACCUCCUACCAACCGGGCAGGAGGUUCUUUUUU
rfam:Lactobacillus backii strain TMW 1.1989, complete genome.